CCCUUUAGUCAUGUCUUCAUGAGGAGAGGUAAUUUAUAGUGAUGCCCCACAACACUGCUAGCGAGAGAGAGAGAGGUUCACAUGCAUUUGUUAGCUUAAGAUUCUCUCCUCAUCCAUUUUUGUGCACCUUAUGCAACAGUACAUAAGAGUCCAUGAAACAUGGUCCCCCCUCACUAGUGCUUUUAUGUACCAUUUUAGCUUUGUUUAUACUUGGCAAUCACUCUCUCUCUCUCUCUUCUCAUUCUCUCGUGGCAUUGGCAUUGGCAUUUAGCUCGUUACGCAUGAGCAUCUUUCUUUGUUAGGGGAUGACUGCUUUUCUUUGUUAGCCUUGGUCCACUAUCCCUCGGGAGCAUGUAGCUGACCUCUGUGGGUGGUGGUGUCAGUUGUUCAUAAGUAGUUGUUUAAGACAGCAGCUUCCAUAUGGUAAGCAUUGUAAGUUCAGUCUGCAUCACCAACAACCUAAUACAAGCAACAAAGAAAAUGAUAUGCCUGAUUACAAUCUGCUUUUGGAU
rnacentral:lncRNA from 1 species